AAAGCUAUCAUUUUACCCGAACCCUUACAUCUCUUUCUAUCACUCUCUCUCAGCCUCUCCCUCACAUCGUCUCUCUCUCUGCCUCUCUCUCGCGUCUCUCUCUCGCACGACAAGGAAGCCAGGCGAGGCUCUCUCACAUGGUCUCCCUCUCUCUCUCUCUCUCUCCGGUGUGCGAUAGGGUGAUGGGCUUUCGUGGCUUGAGGUGUGGGUUCUAAAGGGUGGCUUCCUCGUGGGUGCGAGGUCACGGGGAAGACACCACGAGGUCUAGCAUAAACAAUCUUCAACGGGCCAGGAGCAGAUUUGGUAGUUGACAGAAUGGAACAUUUGGUUUUGGAGCAAGAAAAGCAAUAUCCAUCUGGAGUAAGAUGACAACUUUCAAAUGCACAUGUAUGUUUGCUUUGCUAUGUAGCUUGGUAAAUGUGUGUGUUGAAUUUCUAUAGAUUAUCUCUUGUAUAAUAAUCUUUAUUCUCCUAUAAAUUUUAGUAUAAUUGUCUUCCCGCUUUUGUUUAGAAUUCUUUCUCUGAAAUCUGUCUUGUUUUGUCGCUUGAUAUAGAAAAUAGCUUAGUGUGGCAAAAGCUAGAAUUUGUCUUUGGUAAGGACUUUCAACACUAGUUUUUAUGAAAUUGCAGUAUAUUUUUUCUUCUA